UAUACCGUGAAACUGCGAAUGGCUCAUUAAAUCAGUUAUCGUUUAUUUGAUAGUACCUUACUACUUGGAUAACCGUGGUAAUUCUAGAGCUAAUACAUGCUGAAAACCUCGACUUCGGAAGGGGUGUAUUUAUUAGAUAAAAAACCAACGCCCUUCGGGGCUUCUUGGUGAUUCAUGAUAACUUUACGGAUCGCAUGGCCUUGCGCCGGCGACGGUUCAUUCAAAUUUCUGCCCUAUCAACUUUCGAUGGUAAGGUAUUGGCUUACCAUGGUUUCAACGGGUAACGGGGAAUUAGGGUUCGAUUCCGGAGAGGGAGCCUGAGAAACGGCUACCACAUCCAAGGAAGGCAGCAGGCGCGCAAAUUACCCAAUCCCGACACGGGGAGGUAGUGACAAUAAAUACUGAUACAGGGCUCUUUUGGGUCUUGUAAUUGGAAUGAGUACAAUUUAAACCUCUUAACGAGGAACAAUUGGAGGGCAAGUCUGGUGCCAGCAGCCGCGGUAAUUCCAGCUCCAAUAGCGUAUAUUAAAGUUGUUGCAGUUAAAAAGCUCGUAGUUGAAACUUGGGUCUGGCUGGCAGGUCCGCCUCACCGCGUGUACUUGUCCGGCCGGGCCUUCCUUCUGGAGAACCUCAUGCUCUUCACUGGGCGUGUUGGGGACCAGGACUUUUACUUUGAAAAAAUUAGAGUGUUCAAAGCAGGCCUUUGCUCGAAUACGUUAGCAUGGAAUAAUAGAAUAGGACGUGCGGUCCUAUUUUGUUGGUUUCUAGGACCGCCGUAAUGAUUAAUAGGGACAGUCGGGGGCAUCAGUAUUCAAUUGUCAGAGGUGAAAUUCUUGGAUUUAUUGAAGACUAACUACUGCGAAAGCAUUUGCCAAGGAUGUUUUCAUUAAUCAGUGAACGAAAGUUAGGGGAUCGAAGACGAUCAGAUACCGUCGUAGUCUUAACCGUAAACUAUGCCGACUAGGGAUCGGGCGAUGUUCUUUUUCUGACUCGCUCGGCACCUUACGAGAAAUCAAAGUU
rnacentral:rRNA from 1 species